CCAAAACAACCAGGAGGUUGGCUUAGAAGCAGCCAUCCUUUAAAGAUAGCGUAACAGCUCACUGGUCUAAAUAAGUUGUCCUGCGGCGAAGAUGUAACGGGGCUCAAGCCAUGAGCCGAAACUUCGGACGCGAGUAAUCGCGUGGUAGCGGAGCGUAGUGUG
rnacentral:rRNA from 14 species